UUAUGCUUAUAGGAGUCUGCGAAAUGUGAAAAACCGUGGCUAACGUAUUAUCUAAUUGUGGUGAGAAGGAGUUAAUGGAAAAACUUUCGUCCUGCGAGGCUUUCUUCAGAAAUUUAACCACAUUUCCUCGUAACCAAACUUCAGCAGCCAUAAAGGCUGCACCAGCUCAGUUAGCACAAACUACUGCCACAAGUUAUCUUGGGCAUUCUAACAGUACAAAACUUGUGGUACCUUUGGUUAAAGCAAGAAGGGGGCAGCCAAAAAAAGUGAGAGCUGUCAAGCGUAAAUUUUUUUCAAAUCAAGUAAAAAAGGUAGGCCUUGCAACGGUUAAAGUAGACAUUCUAAAUGUCUACAAACGGUAUUCUCUUUCAAAUGCAGAUUUAAAUGUUCUGGUACAGGGCACCUCCAUAUCAGAUAGCAUAAUCAAUGUCGCACAGUAUUUAAUUCAGAAAAAAUAUCCUACUUGUGUCGGCUUUCAAGAUGUCUUACUGGGACGAUGUUUACAAUUCACUCAAAUCAAAGGCCCUUUCGUUCAAAUCUAGCAUGUUCAGAACCCCAAUCAUUGGCUUACAGUAACAAAUGUUGGUGCGGGCAAAAACACAGUCUCCAUAUAUGAUUCAAUUGAUCAAGAUACCUCUUCUGAUGCUGUUAGGCAAAUCUGUCAUAUUCUAAAAUUACAAUUGCCAACAUUAACCAUUCAAACAAUGAAGGCACAAAACCAGUGCAACACACUUGACUGUGGCUUGUUUGCAAUUGCUAACAUGUAUUAUAUAGCGUCAGACAGAAAACCAGAAACUUUGAACCCUAACCAAGUUAUGCUACGCAAACAUUUGCAGCAAUGCAUACAGAAUGGUAUGAUCGAAGACUUUCCCCUCAUAAACUCCAUGGCUGCUCGCGUACAGCCAAGAGAUAGUAUUUACAAGUUACAUUGUGUCUGCCGGCAACCACAAUAUAGUGGGGUAGUAUUGGACAUUACUUGUGCAGGUUGCUCAAGAGGAUUUCAUGGAGCUUGUCUCGGCUCUUUAGCAGCUAACUUGGACAAAAAAGUAUUCGUGUGUUCUUAGUCAUGUUUGCUGGUUGCCAAGGAAAAGAUACAUUCUCCUAAUUAAUAAUAGCAUUCCAUUUUGGUGUAGACAUAUGGCAAAAUUUCUAACCAUUCUUCAUGUUUCUUCCUCUAAUUUUUGCUUUUCUUUAAAGGGCCACUCACCGGGUUUGGCGAUUUUGAGCUGACAAGUGCAAUGCGUACAUCGGGAGUUUAUGGUCGCGCCCCCAGAAAAGGAGGGUAUGAUGUGCACGUAUGAAUCGCCCUACAUACACAGCAGUGCAGUGACGUUGGUCCUCUAUGUAGACGACUGUGCUCUGACGCUGCCAACAGUGGCACGUGACAUGGCGGAAAUUAUUUAACGUGACAUGCGUAGUUAAUGUAAUUUGUUGCUUGAGGAGAUUAAUAAAACUUGGGAUACAUAUUGAGACGCAA